GGCAAUGUUGCGUUCCCUUUGGUUUUCAUCACGGACUGGUGCCGAAUAUUAGUCAUUCUCGCCUCCGCCGACCUGCCCGUUAAUCAGGUUCGACUCCUUCGCGAGAGAAUGUCCGCUGUAAUGUCACGUUCACGAUUCUCUCAAAAAUUGACUGAUAAUGUUGAGGCGAUGACAUUAUUGCUUCAAAUUGAUGAAGACCGUGUUCGUUUGACGGCAGCUGGACUGUUUAAGGUUGGGAUGCAUCUUAUUCCAGCUGUAAGUAAUAUUUCCAAAAUUCCGUUUCAUCUGAUUGCGCGCGCUAUUCAUUUGGAUAAGUCUCUGUCUGUUUCCACUGUACUAAAUAAAAACUGCUCUAUUAUAGUUAACAGGCGCUGUGGUGACAUAUAUGGUCAUCCUGCUUCAAAAUUAGUUACAUGAUCAGUAAAUCAUCAUUCAUCACGUUUUACGGAAAAAUGAACCAGACUUAAUUCAGACGUCAAAGUUUUAAAAACCUUAUGAUAAAAAUAUCAUUAUAGCGGCAUAUAAGAAGCAAGCUUGCGGCUCCCCUCGUACCCUCUGAUUCACCCCAUUUAUUUGUUUUCGUCUUAGUAUUUAGUUUUUUUUUUUUUUUUGAAUUUUUGAAAAUGUUUUCCAGGUUGAUGUGUUUAUUUAGCCACAAAAUCAAUUUUUUGGCGUCCGAUGACGACUAACUAUUGGUGAUGACUUAAGGGAAACGCAGAUAUACAACAAGAAGAAAACCCCCGAGCCAUAAUUUGUGUGGAAAACCCAUCAGUGGAUUUUCCCCAGUGGAGAACAUCGUUGGCUCUUCUUGUUUCGGUGCCCCAAAAAAGAAUUGCAACAAAAACAAGAAAGACAACAAUUGUAGAUUGCUGUUAGUCCAUUAUAUAGUUUAAGAUAUUCCUCCGUGAAAUUUCUAGGUUGCGUAUACCAACUGAUGAUAUCUGUAAAUCCCGUUACGUUUGAAUAUGUUGCGCUGAUUAAUUUUACUAGAUGUCCCUUCUCACCCAUAACAAAAUUAACACACACAAACAGUACACCAUCGUCUAGUGCAUUUAAUAGAAUCUGCUUCUUAUUUACAUAUGAGAAAGUUUCGAAAUGUUUUGUAA